UUACAAAAUAGAAAACCGAAU
rnacentral:piRNA from 1 species